UACCUUUUCAGAGUAUUUUUUCAAAAAUCACUGUAACAAUAGAGAUUAGCUUGGCCCCUGCACAAGAAUGACAUACAAAUUCUUGAAGUAUUCCAUGUUUUU